rnacentral:misc_RNA from 1 species
AAGUCGUAACAAGGUUUCCGUAGGUGAACCUGCGGAAGGAUCAUUAACACGAAACUCCACGUUUCAUACCAACCUGUGGUCUUGUAAACUUUCAAAGUUUCCUUUGUUUUCUUGCUUUCAAUAAGUAAGAAAAACGAUGGCAGCUAGGGGGAGAUGUUGGAAACCCAAUGUUUUUUCUUUUUGGUUGCUGUCGGCAAAGAAACUUUUUUUGUAUCUUACAAAAACCCCUUGUAUCAUCUAUUGACUGAACCAAAUGGAAGUUUGAGUACCCUCCGGGGCGCUCGCUUCUAGAUAUUACGAAACUCUGAACAACUCUAAGCAACGGAUAUCUUGGUUCUC